UAGCAUCCUAUUGAGCCCACUUGUAGUGCGACACUGAAGACAAGAGGAUGUUCUCCUGUUGUCUCCUGAGUUGUGGAGGCUCCGGCUUCAGGAAAGCCAAGAAAAGGAGACUUUUCAGUCACUAUAGACACUGGCUUGGCCCUCACCUGCACCGCCUCUGUCCAACUGGCAGGAGGAGCACUCAGAGAUGCAUGCAGGAGGCAGUUGAAGAGCUGGCAGAUGGCUUUGGGUACUCCAUCUCCCUGGACCGGGCGCAGCUCCACCCCGCCAACAGUAGUGACCAGGGCUGCUCUGAGGUGAGAGUGGGCACAGAGGGGUCUUCCCACCCAGAACCCUGAGAUGACCAGGGCCGGCCCAGAAUCCAAAUUCAAACUCAGGUUCUCCUGCCUGUCCUUGGCCGAUCAUUCCCUCCGUUCUCUCCUAUAGAGCCUCUACAUAGGGCAACUGAAAACACGCACUCUUGCUCCCCUAGUUCCAGAGAUAUAUGAUACAGGGAGAGAGAGAGAUGGAAACAUGAGGAGGGAAAGAGGGAGGGGGCUGAAGAAAAUGAGUAAGAAGGAAGGGCCAGGCUUUUUGUUCUUAACCCUUGGUUGUGUGCCAUCCCAUCACUUUGGCUGCAUUCUGCUGUUCAGAAGCCACUUCCUAACCACUGUGUGGUUCCACAAGAAUGCACACAGCAGAAGACAGUGAGCACCGGGAGCCGUGGUGGAGGCUGCCCACCACAUAGGCCGACACGAGGCACUUGGGUCUGAUUCUAAGUCAAACAGGAGACCAUGCAAGGUUUCAUGCCAGUGAAUGGAAGUAUCUGAAUUUCCCCUAAUUUCCACCUCUUAAAGGUGCAGAGCUGGAACCCAGGCCUGUUUUGAGGGCUACUCCACACUACAUCCCACCCCUUCUUGUCAUUCAUUCAUCUCUAAGUGUGUGCAUCAGACACAUGGUAACCAGACCACAGGUGUUGUCGCUAUUGUCUGUUCUACACCUGAG
rnacentral:lncRNA from 1 species